CAGUAAUUGUAAUUGCGUUACUUGAUUUACAAAAAUACUUCGUUACAUGCUCGUUACCACUAAAAGUAGUGGAAUUACAAUAACGCGUUACUUUGUAACGCAUUACUCCCAACACUGCUCUUCACUUUCUCCAG